rnacentral:lncRNA from 1 species
GUUUUCAUUGGGUUUCUCCUUAAGGGAGUGGUUUGAUAUAUAUCUAUAAUUUAUUUUUUAUUUUUAAUGAAGAUGCAUUCUUCUGGAUUUCAGGGAGAAAAGGCAAGGUGGAAGAAAUAAGUGUAAGUGCUUGGAGUGGUACACAGAGAGGUUUGGAGAUGUCUGGGCAGUGUUGGUGUUCUCAGACUGAUCUGCAGGAAUUGCUGACCACACUGGGAAUGUUUGUGCCAGAAGAGCAGCUGUGCAAGAGCUUUAGGCUUGGUUUCAUGCUUACCUGCAGAGGGGCAUUUUGGCACGUCCAGCUCUGUGGCCACCUGCUUUGCUGCAUUCAGGAGCUCCCACUGGCUGAGCAGAUCCACACCACAUCAGUGACAUCCAUCCUGUCCCAACAGACAGGUCCCCAUGACCACAGAGGUAUGUUUCUGAAGUGCUACCAAGGGUUUUGUGGUGUUAAAUUCUGUUUUGCUAAUGUAUUUACUGAACCAAUGCCCGCACAGCUUCCUGAAAGGCAGACUGGGACUGCUAGCAUGGUCUGUAAUUUCAGCAGUGCUUCUGAGCCUUCUGACUGAGCCUGUUCUCUCACCAGAGUCACCAUUUACUUCAGCACAUUUUUAAAAUUUUAAUUCCUGCCCUCCCCCACGCAUGCACGCAGACCUCACAGAGAUUUUCAUGCAUUUAAAUGAAAAAGCUGAACAGUUCCCUUUUCUCGUUCACAUUAUGCAGCAUUGCCCUUCUCUGUACUUUAUCCUAUUUCAGAGCUGUCAUGCAAAUGAACCCAAAUUAAAAAAAAAAAAAAAUCAUUAAAGUAGUAUGUAUCCUAUCAGCCUUCUGUCUUGGCUCCUUCUCUUCCUGUAUGUGUAGGGAGAAAUCCCUUCUCCUGCUUGCCCUUCUCUUUCAGGUGUUUUGACUUUUUUUUCUAACUAAUCCAAUAACUUUGUGGCUCCCCCAAAUGCUCUGGUCUGCCACGGUUGUCCAAUAAGCCUCUGUGCCCUUCACCUCCCCACACACAUAGUAUUUACUACUCCAGGACUACAGAACUCUUGUUUUCUAAAGCUUUUUUCAUGUUUUCUUCCUCAACUACAGCAGAAUAAAAAAUUAUCCUUUUCUGUAAAACCUGUCCUG